UACGUAGGUGGCAAGCGUUGUCCGGAUUUACUGGGCGUAAAGAGCGCGCAGGCGGUCGUUCAAGUCGAGUGUGAAAGCCCCCGGCUCAACUGGGGAGGGUCACUCGAUACUGAUCGACUCGAAGGCAGAAGAGGGAAGCGGAAUUCCCGGUGUAGUGGUGAAAUGCGUAGAUAUCUGGAGGAAUACCGGUGGCGAAGGCGGCAUCCUGGACCGACAUUGACGCUGAGGAGCGAAAGCUAGGGGAGCAAACGGG
rnacentral:rRNA from 1 species